rnacentral:rRNA from 1 species
CACGUAGGGCGCAAGCGUUGUCCGGAAUUAUUGGGCGUAAAGAGCUCGUAGGCGGACUGUCACGUCCGCUGUGAAAAGCUGGGGCUUAACCCUGGCCUUGCAGUGGAUACGGGCAGACUAGAGGUAGGUAGGGGAGAAUGGAAUUCCCGGUGUAGCGGUGAAAUGCGCAGAUAUCGGGAGGAACACCGGUGGCGAAGGCGGUUCUCUGGGCCUUACCUGACGCUGAGGAGCGAAAGCGUGGGGAGCGAACAGG